rnacentral:misc_RNA from 1 species
UCACCUCCACUUGUCCCAG